AUAUCUUAGCCGCAUCAUCUGGAUGAGCUGCAGUGGGUGCAGCGGGCAGCUCAGUGUGAGUUCGGUGGGAAUGAGAGAUAGAGCUGGAUGCAGUGUGAGAUGUGAACAAAGGUGACCCCUAGGUUGAAGUUUCUUCAAGGAUGUCUUGGUCUGGAAUGUGGUUUAACAGCACAGGUGUCAUUGAUUGGAAAUGCUGUAUACUGACAAACCUAUGGAAUCCUGUCUUGUCAGAGUCCUUAACAGAGCUGAGCAGCAGUGGUGGUCUGAGCUUGGCUCACCGUGGUGGGAAGUAGUCAUGAGGACCUGUGGUUAGUCUCCUGUUGGAAGAUGAAGAUACUCUGUUCUUAUCUGUACCUCCUGGUUUUUAAUGUUCGAGUACAAAGAAGUUGAUGUUGUGAGUAAUCACUGCAGUUAAUGUUUGAUUUUUGAAUGUGGUUCACAUAUUUAUCCAAUUCCUUUGGUGCUGAAAGUCAUCUGUUGUUAAUUAUGUGACCAACAAAUUGUAAGUACGGGUUUGCACAUAGAAGCUGAUCAUGUGUCAGGAUCUUUGGCCCAAAUCUGAAAUGCUAAAGGCACUCACUUCUGGAAGAUGCUGAAACUUUAUUGAAUUAUGUUUUUACGAGCUUCUUUAUGAUUAUCUUUUAGGUAUUUUCUGAUCUAAUGUUGAAAAGCUAUUUAGUGUAACUGCAGUUAAGUGAUUUCAUCUCAAAUGUUUAUUUUGCUAUGCACAUCUCUUCCCCCUUUUCUUUUUUUAAUGUGAAGUGCUACAGCUUUACUUUAAGUUUAUAUGGAAAGCAACUAUACUUUAAGAAGUAUGCAGGAGGAUUUCCCAUGUCUGUAAACAUACUGGGUAGUUGAGCAUUUGCUGAAAUGAGCUGCCAAUUGUUUUCUGUCUUAUAAUACUCCUUUGUAGAUCUGCUGGUAUCUGGCUUGUCCCUGCUGCAUCUAUACAAUGCGUUCCUUCAUGUUUUGUGUAACAUCUUCCUCAGUCAUUUCUGUGUAUGUAAAUACAGAAACUGGAAAGAGAAAACUCUGUUUGUGAAUUGUCCCUCUUCCUGCCCUCACUUCUCCACCCCUCCAGCGUAGCUGGAAGGUUGGUCAUGAGCAGGAAGUGAGAACAAUAUUGAUUACUGGUAUCCAGGAAUUCUGAGGGGGAAGGGGGCAAAAAUGAGCACUGGAAAACAAUCUACGUGUUCUGACAACACAUUUAUGCUUUGAGACCCUUAGAAUGGGAGUGCUGUCGGUAGAAAAAGUAAAUGAAGACCUCGAGGUGUUGGUUGCAGAAGUAUCGAAGCAACUGCCAUCGUAAGAGGCUUGGGUGUUGGUUUUGUGCCUUCUGUUACUUGUUCAGUUCUUUAAAUCACUCCUAAUAGUGGUUAGUGAGGUGCAAGCAGAGUGAAGCCUAAACCCAGAAGGGUUUUUGUGUAUUUACCUUUUUUUUUUAGCUUGUCAAACUCAAAGCAGAGUUACAUUAAAACAAAGUAUCUUUCAGGGGUGACUUCUGUGACUGUAUAACUCCUGCCACAUGAGUGAUUACUGUUCAUUUCUGCACUUACUAUUUGCAAGUGCUGCAUGUUUGUGUCACAACACUGUUUUCUAACACUGUUUCAAGUAAGAGAAGAACGUAAAAAAAGGUAAUUUAAAGUGAUGUAUUUAAUGGGAAGUAGUUGUUCUAAGUUGCUCAACUGAGAAGAGAUGAGUACUGGCAUGUCUCAAAACUUGUUUUGUUCCCCAGGAGUUAAGCAUAGAGUGUUAUCUCCCUUUUAUUUGCACAGUAUCUCGCAUACCAGCAGAGCCUGGAAAUUCAUAAUGUUUAGCAAAAUGAGGAAAGAAAUCAAGAGUCACACAUUUUUGCUGUUGGCAGCGGUAGCCUGAUCAACAUUUACCCGUCAGCCUGCCACCUCCCGUAACUUAGACACUAGUUUUUAAAACCACUUUCUGCAGCCGUUAGUCCUCAGUUUCUGGUUGCCAAAUAUGUGUUUUCUUUUUUCUUCUUGCGCAAACUUGUUGUUACUGCUGUGCUUAUACGAGAGGGCUUAGCUGAGUUUUGGAGGUGUAUUUAGCAGCAGAUGUACUGCAUAUUGUCCUUUUUCUUGUGACAGUCCUUAAGAGUAUUUAAGUGUAUCAUUCAGCAUUUGAUGGGUGACCAAGCUAUUCUUUGUUUAUUUUCUGAAGCAUUGAGCGUUUUGUUACAAAUGUAGGCUGAUAUUAUUACAGAUACGUGGUUUUGUUCAUGGCUUUGAUGCUUAGUGUUGCUGUGAGAAAGAUCCCUGUGCAGGGUUCAACAAAUAAUUGUGGAGAGCAGCGGUUCCACUUUCUGUGCACGUGCUACCUAUUUUGUAAAUAAGCAUUGUAUGGCUGUUGGUCUUCCUUUUAAAAGCUAUCCUGUGCAUGGCUGACUUCAAAACUCUUAUAAAAGCUUAGGAAUUAAGUCAGUGUUGUAAACUAGAAACGUGAGGUAGACUUUCAGAAUUAUUUGGAAGAGGAAAAUACGUGUAUAUGAACUGAAGGAAUCUGAGUCAAAUGAGCAGGCUGUGCAGCUUUCCUGAGGUUUGUGAAAAAUCAAAAUGCAGUAACUUGUUAGACCUGUGUGAGGAGGAAUAGAGAACAUAUAUUUCUAGCCUGUCAUAGAACGGUGUGGAUUAACACAGAAGCAAGAAAAGAGCCUCAGAUGUUCUUGCAAAACUGUGACAAAACACCUUUGCAAAACGUGAUGACCUCAGUUCUACUGUGGUAGAAUAAAACAAAAUCAGAGGUUGGAAAAAAAUGGCAACUCGUGGUAUAAAGAGGUUAAGAAAUUGAAGUAUUAAUAUUCAAGUAAAAUACAUUUAAUAAGUAGGAAAUGAAGUGAAACAGUGUACUCUGAAGCUUAUCAAAGAGUUUACAGGAAGGUUCCUGAAGAUCUGGAGAUCUCCUGAAGGAUCCUGGAGAUCCUGAAGAUCUGGAGAAUUCAACUGAAAAUAGAAAAUCCGUUCUUUUUACCUGAGCCUGUAUCUGUGUAUUUAGGAAUAAACACAGUUUUUGUUUCGUAUUUUUACAACAGCUGUUUGGGUAACCUAAAGCACACAGACCGCGAUGCUGGUAUUUACGAGGCCUGCACUCCAAGGCUGUGAGUGCAACUGGAGCUAAAGGAGCCUUGCUGUUCUGCUGGGGCUUUAUGAAAACUUCAGGAGCAUUUGACAAGUUUUACUCUAUUCAGUGGGAGGAAAAAAGGAAAUGUACUUGUAGUUUUUAAGCUUUACAGAAUGAUUAGGUUUUAAUUUAGCAAAACUAUCCUAGACAAACAUAGUGUAUUUCUUUCUUAUAGUCAAAAUAAGAAGCGCCUAUGGUAGAAAGAGUACUGUGCAAAACUUGCUCUAGUGGAUGUGAGAGCUUUUGAGUCUGACAGUUUAAGUAGCGAAGACGAAAGUGAGGACAGUUCUUGGGCAGGGGACUUGAAGAGGAAUGUGAUUCAUGGGGCAUAGUGACUGGCGUAAUUACCAGUGCAGCUGCUGUAGUAAUUUCUGCCAGUGCUAAAAAAGCCUGUCAUGGCCUGUACUCUGCUGGUCAGAGUGUAAGUGAUAACGAUGGCAGCAGCAGUGCCAACUCCAGGCUGCUGUAUGCGAUUGGAGCAGUUUCUGCUAGGUUUCAAAUUGAUAUAAAACCUUCACAGGAUUUCCUGAAGUGUUCAGGCUGAGGAAAAACUUUGGAAUUGGGAGUGGCAAGGUUUUGUUAUGUGUUUUCUGUGAGGAAUAGUAAGAGUAGUGAUACAGAGGGAUUUAAAUAAUCUGAUAAUGAGUAAAACCUGUCAAAUUCAGGCAAGGAAAACCAAGGACUUGAGCACCUUCAAUUUUAACAUUAUCAGCACAAAAGGUUUGUAAGAAAUCCAUUUGCUUCAGUAUUCUAUUAAAUAAGGUUUUAAACUUUUUGUUCUGAUAGAGCUUUCUGUCAUUCUGUAUUUUUUUAAUCACGUUCUGUAAUCUGAAACAUCUGACUUGUGGUUCAGUGUUUGUUUCCAUUUAAGCCAAGUGACACAUUUCAGAGUUGAUCCAGCAUGGAAUUUGGAGGAAGGAGCUCUUGAAGCACUGGGACAGAAGAGUGGGAAGAAACGUUCUGCUGGACCCAGGCUUCUUUCUCAUGUAAAUGGCUUGACCUAGCGAGGAAAAGCUUUUGCUGAAGAGUGAGGGGAAUUUUGAAAUACUAACCACAAAAUGUUAUUUUCUGUCACUAAUGUGCAUCAUCAAAACUCACUUCUCUAGCACUCAACAAAUGUAAUUUGCAUUUAAAAUUGAAGUGGAUUGCCAGAAGUCUUACAUCAGUCUCACAUCAAAGACAGCAGAAUUUCCUAGAAUUCAGGGACUCUGAUACUUACUGUCAGAGCAAUCUGUUUAACUGCCUAGCCCCAACAUCUGCAUUAGCAGCUCAUUGCAUUUCACCUGUGCAGUAGAAAUAAUAAUUUUGUCCUAUUUGAGAGAAGGCUUAGCUUCCUUCCUAGAUGUUCUAAGUGUAAACUGUAAAUACAUAUGCAGUGUUCCUAAUUUCUUUCAGUCUUCCUUAUCCUCUUCAAAGAGUUUCCAGAUCUUGCUCUUUUUCAACCUUUUAUUUACCUUUGAUUUCAUUUCUGCCAUUUCCAUCUCCUGUUCUUAAUAACGUGCCUCCCUCAGAUUGUUGCUGAAGAAUGCCAAACAGUGUUUGUGGCUCGAUUCAAGAAAGAGAUUAAGGAGGAGAUCACAAUUUCCUGCAUCCAAAGGUAUCAGAAGAUUGUUAGCUAAUUUAUGAAAACAUUCUGUAAUCAUUGCUCAUUGUUGUCCCUGUUGACUGAUGGUACGAGUUCCACAGGCUUAAAUUCGGGCACAAGAGGAGUCCUAAAAUAACACUGCAGAGUUUCUCCUUGUGCAGCAAGCGACUCUGCUCAUCCCAAGCACCUGGUGACUGCAACCUGAGUGACAGUAAGUAGUGUAGUUCUGUGGCUUAUGUUUCCAGCAUGUAUAUAUGUGUACGCUGAGGCUCAGCCCUAAUAAAGUCACCUUUUUUGAAAGUUGUAUUGCAUAUUGUCUUUGUCAUAGGUGGCUAUUAGUUUAUGGAAUGACAGUCACAUGACAUUUUUGAAAAUGCCAUUAAAUAUUAAGAUUCUCAGUUUGCUUGAAGGUUGUGGUUGCUUUUUGGUUUUAAUAACAAAAACCUCAAGCCUGAAAAUGGUAGUUCAGUCCUUUUCCCAUGGCAUCUUUGAGCUUUUUUCUAGUAUGGUAAGCAGGGUGAGAACUGAUUACGUUGUAAAAAUUAAAAUAAUCUCAGUUUAAAGCCUAUCAAGUAAAAAUAGUUCUAGUUUUAAAAUGAGAAAUACUAUUUUACAUGUUAUAGAAGAAAGUGUUCACCUCAGAGCUGACUUUUUUUUUCCCCUCUCCUCAGCAAUUAGGUAUUCACAGUCUCCAAAGGGAGGUUAGCAAAGACAGUAGUUUGAUUGGAAGGGGCCUACAAAGGUAAUCACAUCCACUUGCGUUGCCACCUUGGGGACGACCAAAAGUUAGAGCAGGUUCUGAGUGUCAUUUAGUGUUUCAAUUGGGGUUUUUUGUUUGGGUAUUUUUUGGCUAGUGUGUAGAGUAGUGUGAUGUGUGCCCACUGCUUUUUUUGCCCAGUUAAACAAAAAAUUCAACAGUUAAACUCCAGGGUAAAUCACAGGUGAUAAUGGGAUACGAAACUCUUGUUUUACCCAGCUCCCUGAGACAGGGUUCUGCAAUUCUUUUAGUGGUUCAAAAUGUCAUUGAGGGAGAGAGAAAUCUGACCAAUGGAUUGAUAACUGAGUAAUACCUGUGAGAUGUACAAAGAAGGAGGAAGAACUGAGUCUGUUUUAAAGAUGAGUAAAUUGAGAUGAGGUGAUCUGCACAUCAGGUGGGAAACCUGUGUGUGUGUGUGUAUACUUAACAAAUCUGAACGGACAACAAAUUUGCUAUCCAUCUGAAAGUGCCUGGUGCUGCUUGGACGUGCAGGCUGGUCUUUGCAUAUAUCGUGUGUCUUCUGCCAUUUUCAUGCCCAGUUAUAAAAAUAGAUGCAGCUCUUAAGACAUUCAGGAAGAAAAUGAAAAUUUAACAAAUUGAUGACUUGUGCUAGAAUAUGUGGAUGUUGUCUUUGUUGUGAAAAGUGAAAGGGAAGGAAGUAAACUCUUUAGCCUGGAAGUCAAUUUUAAAGAUAAAGUAGAAGGGCAUUUUUAGAAACUUAGAGGGCAGGAUUCUUAGGGAUCUCCACCACAAAUGCCUUUAAAGGGGAGGUAUUUUACUGGAAUAAAUAGAAUAAAUUGGUGCAGAGGAGGAGGCUGAACAGGUCCCAGGUGUGGUGGCCUGGCUCGUAUUGUUGAUGGAAUUGUUGCCAUUGGCUUUGUGAACGUUUUGAUUUUAGCUUGUGAGCCACUUACAGUUCCAUUUCUGCAGUGAGGAUAAAGAACAAUGAACAAAUUUGCACAGAAGCUGCUGGUAGACAUCAGCAGUGAGACCUAGCCUGGCAUUUAAAUAAAGCCUAAUUAAACAUAUGUUUCUCUGGAAAUGUUUGAGAAUUUCUGCUGGUCACGCUAUGGCAUUUUCCCUUCUAGGUGCAGGUGGAGUUUGUGAUCAGCAAAAGCAGGAGUGUUACAAGCAGUAUGCACUCUGUGUCAUCUGUAGAUGUAAUUCAACUGUUUCAAGUCUGCUAAAACAGUGGUAGCUACAUGGGUGAGGCAGGACUUGGGCAGGUAACAUGCAGUUUUACUUCAGUUGCUGCUGGGGUGAGAGUCCCUACCUCCUUCCCCAUGGGAAGGUACCCUAACCCAGGAACACUUCAUGCAGCACUGAAAUGGAGGCCUUCACAGAAAGAUAAACCUCAGUAUGCUUCUCCAGUGAAAUAUAUUACACAUUUGUUAGUUUUUGGGUAACAGCCAAAUCAUUCCUUGUCCCUCCCCACACACGCUUCCAUUUAUAAAUGAAGUCUUCAGUCUUUUGAAUGUCAUAC
ensembl:lncRNA